rnacentral:rRNA from 1 species
AUUGAACGCUGGCGGCAUGCUUUACACAUGCAAGUCGAACGGUAACAGGUUAAGCUGACGAGUGGCGAACGGGUGAGUAAUGCAUCGGAACGUGCCCGGUCGUGGGGGAUAACGCAGCGAAAGCUGCGCUAAUACCGCGUACGAUCUGAGGAUGAAAGCGGGGGACCGUAAGGCCUCGCGCGAUCGGAGCGGCCGAUGUCAGAUUAGGUAGUUGGUGGGGUAAAGGCUCAACAAGCCGACGAUCUGUAGCUGGUCUGAGAGGACGACCAGCCACACUGGAACUGGGACACGGCCCAGACUCCUACGGGAGGCAGCAGUGGGGAAUUUUGGACAAUGGGCGCAAGCCUGAUCCAGCCAUGCCGCGUGCAGGAUGAAGGCCUUCGGGUUGUAAACUGCUUUUGUACGGAACGAAAAGGUUUGUCUUAAUACGUUGGACUCAUGACGGUACCGUAAGAAUAAGCACCGGCUAACUACGUGCCAGCCGCCGCCGUAA